rnacentral:rRNA from 1 species
GGGAGUUGGCGGCAGCUUACCAUGCAGUCGACGAGAAAGUCCCUUCGGGGGCGAGUAAAGUGGCGGACGGGUGAGUAACGCGUAGGAACCUACCUGAUAGUGGGGGAUAACUCGGGGAAACUCGAGCUAAUACCGCAUACGCUCUACGGAGGAAAGAGGGCCUCUAUUUAUAAGCUCUCGUUAUCAGAGGGGCCUGCGUUGGAUUAGCUAGUUGGUAGGGUAAAGGCCUACCAAGGCGACGAUCCAUAGCUGGUCUGAGAGGACGAUCAGCCACACUGGAACUGAGGCACGGUCCAGACUCCUACGGGAGGCAGCAGUGGGGAAUCUUGGGCAAUGGGCGCAAGCCUGACCCAGCCAUGCCGCGUGUGCGAAGAAGGCCUUCGGGUUGUAAAGCACUUUCAGUGGUGAAGAAAAGCCAGGGGCUAAUACCCCCAGGUCUUGACGUUAGCCACAGAAGAAGUACCGGCUAACUCCGUGCCAGCAGCCGCGGUAAUACGGAGGGUACGAACGUUAAUCGGAAUUACUGGGCGUAAAGCGCGCGUAGGCGGUUCGGUAAGUGGGAUGUGAAAGCCCUGGGCUCAACCUGGGAACUGCAUUCCAAACUGCCGGGCUAGAGUAUGGUAGAGGGAGGUAGAAUUUCCUGUGUAGCGGUGAAAUGCGUAGAUAUAGGAAGGAAUACCAGUGGCGAAGGCGGCCUCCUGGAUCAAUACUGACGCUGAGGUGCGAAAGCGUGGGGAGCAAACAGGAUUAGAUACCCUGGUAGUCCACGCCGUAAACUAUGAGAACUAGCCGUUGGGACCCUUGAGGUCUUAGUGGCGAAGCUAACGCGAUAAGUUCUCCGCCUGGGGAGUACGGCCGCAAGGUUAAAACUCAAAGGAAUUGACGG